rnacentral:lncRNA from 1 species
GACGUUUGUCGAGCAAUUUGCAUAUCUACAGCAUAAUUUCGAUAAAAACUUUAUUGAAGGAGUUUAAGCACUUCUAUAAGGCCCGUUUUAUACGUCGAAUUUUGGUCGCGUCGAAUGCAAUUAAGACAAUAGAUAAUGAGAUGAUAAACCUCAUUAAGCUUCAUUAUCUAUCGUAUGAAUUGCAUUCGACGCGACCGAAAUUCGACGUAUAAAACAGGCCUAAACUUUUUUCAUCUCUAAAAAGUAUCAAGCGGCAAAUUUAGAAAAUAUGUCCAACGUGUUUCGUAUCUGAUUUUUUUCUUCACCAGUUCGCGUUACUUUUGAUGUAUUCUAUAAAAGAGUUGCCAGCCUCAGGAUAUAAUACAAAAUGACAAUACAAUGACGUAAUCAUGCGAGUAUGCAUAGCAAAGUCAGGCGAACUUUAUACGUAUUUUUAAAUGUUUUUAACGCAUCUCAAGCGAACACAUAUAUUUUCUGGGUUGCCAUGAUACUAGUUGCUUUUCAACAAGUAACAAUUGUUGAAAAAAUCUGCCCUACUUCGUAAAAUUUCCUCUUGGCAUUCUUUUUAAAUUCUUUUCUAAAAUUUUUAUUGUAUAUUAUUUGGUAGAGUGAUAUGAAGGCAACAACUGCACGACACAAUUAAAGCGAGAGCAGAGAGGAACGAGGAGAUGAGAAAGUGGUGACAGAAUAACAGAAUGACGACCAAAAGAAGCCGCCACAACUAUCCAAAGAUGAUAGCAAAUGUACGGUUUGUCACUGUUAUUUAUGUUCUAGACAAUUAAGAGGAAUUCUGUUUAUUUUUUAUUUGUUACUUAUUAGGUAUGCCACCGCAUUUUAUUUUCACCCAGAUUUUGUAUUUUUUAUACCACGUUGCAAGUCCUAUCGUUGCGCUUGUUAACUGCAUUUUUCCCCAUUUUUUAUGAUGGUUCACUGUAAAUUGAGCGGAGAUUUAAAUGGAUCAUCAAGAGAAAUGAAGAACAGAGACCAACAAAACAGAGGCAACGACGAUGUAAAGAUACAGUGAAUGCAUGUAAGUUUUGCUGGUGCAAUGUUUAUGUAAUAAUUUAAAUAUUUUUACGGUAGAUUUCACAAAACUUUGACCACAAAUGUUCCGAACUUCUUUCGUCGAGAAGUUCAAAAGUUCAUAAUGAGAUUCACAAACCAGUUUGUAAUUAAACGUAUUUAAUUGGCUUCUUCUACCCCAUCAGGUACCAAUCAGGGUCUUUGUUUACAAAUUGGCUUGUGAAUUCCAGUGUGCGCAAUGCGCCUCCCGGUAUCCGCCGCUGUUACUCAGUUCUUCCUUUAUUUCUGUGUGAAUGCUACACCCUGACGUUUAUGUACUUUUGAAAUUUUAGCAUUUCUAUCUUUAAAAGUAUAUUAAGUAAAUGUUUCUAUAACACGUGUAGUGAAAUAUUCAAUCUAUUUUGUUACUGAUGGGAAAUAUCCUUUCAUUUCAGAUGAAGACCUACAACCAACAGAUCCUACAACAUCGCCAAGAUGAGAGUAACACAAGUUUUAUCAAGGUAAGAGAAAAUCAAAAAUGAUUCCAGCGAUUUUUAAUCGUUUCUCAUUAAAAAACGAAAGAAAAACUAUUUAAAAAAUAUUUGAUAAAAUAACUUUCUCAAAAAAUGUUUAUUUAUCCUUCAGGGAAAAGAAAAUUUUCAUCAAACCACAUCCUACGAGCUUGUACGGAGAGAAGAAGAUAACUAGAUCAACCAACCAAUCAAUCAUGGACCCAUCAACAGAACGUCGAUGCCUGAUCAACAAAACAAUUACGAAAAUGCAAAAGUGAUUAGUAGAUGUAAGUGAUGUUAUAAAACUUUUGAAAUACAUGAAUGCAGGAAUUUCUCGCUUUUUCAAUCCUGAUAAUAUAAUUAGUCCUUUGUAGGAUUGCAUGGAAAAACAUACACACGUGAGUUUUUCAAAAACUUGCAUGGAAAAACAUACACUCGUGCAUUUUUUUUUUCAAAUUGUACUCGAAACCGUAUAAAUGCCUAUACCAACAACUAUAAUUCCAAAACGUUGUUACGAUAUUUAAGUAUCAUGCACGAUCACUAUUUCGCGUUGUUUCAACAGGUAAGAAUUUUGUCCGCGCUGGUCAAUAAUUUUUGGCGCAUUCGAAAAGUUCUUUUAAAAGUUUUUGAGUUCUUUUCUGGCCGUUUCUGGUGAACAGCAGAUUCGCAAAAAUAUAAAUUUGUUUUCGCAAAAAUGUACUGGACCUUUCUUCGCUCACUUGUCAAAGUAUUUUUGAUAGGAAAAUUCGCAAUUUUCCGUUGGAAACCUUUCCUUCCUUCCCAACGAAGCAUUAAAUAACAAUAUUUUUUCAGUAGGAAAAACUAGGCCAAAAAAACCCAAAUAAAACGCUCAAAAAUCAAAUGUAUUAUUUACCCGGCCUCCCCAAGUCUCCUAUCUGUUCACCGCGUUAAUUUUGACGCGUGUGCAGACAAAAUUCCCACCUUUUUGUUGUUUCAACCAUAGAUAUAUUAUAUACACUAGAUAGUGCAUCUAAUUAUUCUACAAUUAAAAAAUUGAAGCCGUGAUUGCAGACUCAGGAUAUUCCCAUGAAAUGAGAAGAUUCGUAUGUUUUCUAUUUCUUAAACACGGAACUUAAAUAUUAAGGUAAACCUAUUCCAAAUACGUUUUUAAACUAUUCGAAUGAUGAAAGUUAUUGUUGUUUUUUAAGCGUUUAUUAGCGUGUGGGAAACACCAACAUGGCCGCCAUCUAUUCAAAUGGGGGUAACCACUGGAAUAUUCUUGGCUUCAAUUUUACUAAAAGAGAUGCGCUAUCUAGUCUAUAUAAGAUAUCUAUGGUUUCAACAAGUAGUAAUAGCUGACUGUAUGCUGGCAACAUGCACAAAUUCGUCCUACCUCUUAGCCCCCCCCCCCUCCCCCCCCCCGCCCGGGGGAAAUCCAGUGAUAUUGCCCUCCAACAUGGUGUGGUUGCCAUGGCGUCACAUGAAAACAUGAAACGCUCUGUCAGCCUACACCUUGACCUUCUAUUUUCAAUUUCGGUGCCUUGGGGGCGGGGCGGAGGAUUGGUAAAAGCAUGUGACGUCACACUUACCAAAUGCUAGCCCAAAAAUUGACCAAAAUCUGCCGAGUAAAGGGCCUAAGUUUAGGCUAUCAUUGACAUCAAUAAUAUUAAAUGAUCAUUUGAAACAUGAAAUACUACGCAAUUCAAAAUUGUUAUUAUGCGAUAAUAAAUGCCGUUGAAUUGGCGCCGAAGCCUAAAAUAUUGACGGCAAUUUUUUGUCUGCGAUAAUUUGGUAAAAUUGUGAGGACUGGAUAUCUGAUAGAAAAUCCUGGCAAUUUACAUAGACAUUUAAAGAUUAUUGGCAACAAAAAAUUUUAUUGCUUCAUCUGAAAGAGCAUGAAAAAAUAAGCCGAUUGGCAGUUUAAUGCUCUAUUCUAUCUCAUCUAGUUCCGAAGUUAUACGCAAAAAUGUCCAAAAUAUAAGUUGCUGAUUCAGCACAACGUGUGACGUCAUUGGUUGGGUAAGUAUGUUUUUAAAUGAAUACUAAACUGAAGCAUAGCUCAGUUAUUAUGGGCCCAAAUCAAAUAAAAUUUUGCAUGCUGAUUAAUUGUACAUGAUGAGACGCAUUGAAAAACACUUCUAAUUUUGUUGCCAAGGUAACAAUGUCGUUCCCAGGCCCCUUGUGCCAAUUUUAUAAAACAGCUUUAUUCAUGGUACUUAUAAGAAUAAAAUAAUAUCAGAAGUAUGUGUACCAUACCUAUGCAUGCCAAAAGUUUACUUGCAUGAUAAUAAUUUGAAAAUGACAUACACAUAGAUAAAUGCAACUAGUUAUUCAAAAUCAGUGUAAGGGGCCUGGGAACAACUGUGUUGCCUUGACAACAAAAUUAGAAGUAUUUUCCCAUGCAUCUCAUCAUGUACUAUCUGUAUGCAAAAUUUCAUUUGAUUUGAGCGAAUAAUAACUGAGCUAUGCUUCAGUUUACUAUUCAAUAAACAUACUUACCCAACCAAUGACGUCACACGUUGUGCUGAAUCAGCAAUUAAUAUUUUGCACAUUUUUGCGCAUAACUUCGGAACCAGAUGAGAUAGAAUAGAGCAGUAAACGGCCAAUCGGCUUAUUUUUUCAUGCUCUUUCAGAUAAAGCAAUAAAAAAAAUUAUUGCCAAUGUCCUUUAAUAAUUUAAUUUAAGUCUCUUUUCUAUCAAAUAUCACUCAAGCCUUUAACAUGAUUCGAUCCUAUUUCAUGGACUCAUGGAUACUUUUUAAUUUCUAAAGGUGAUGUGAAUUGUGAUGAAAUGCGGCGAUGAAAAGACCAAAAAGAGCCACUCACGAAUGGCAUGGAGCCAAGAAAAGAAUGACGAUAAGCAACAAUCGGAAACCACAACAUUGCUAAUAUGAAAGUAGCGAAAAAUUUUACGAAUGUAAGUUAGUUAGAGACAAAAUACUUAUUUAAAGAUCAAAGGGGAUUCGAGUGAAUACAACGAUUUUCUCAUUGUAAAUUAAAUAAGCAUGCUACGAAUUUGUCAAAUUUUUCGACUUUGUUUUCCAAUUUGCGGAGUAUAGAAAUAAUUGUCCUCAAAAUCAGGUAA